rnacentral:tRNA from 1 species
GCCUGGGUGGCUCAGUCGGUUAAGCGUCUGACUUCCACUCAGGUCAUGAUCUCAUGGUUCAUGGGUUCGAGCCCCGCGUCGGGCU